rnacentral:misc_RNA from 1 species
GAAAUGCGAUAAGUAAUGUGAAUUGCAGAAUUCAGUGAAUCAUCGAAUCUUUGAACGCACAUUGCGCCCGCCAGUAUUCUGGCGGGCAUGCCUGUCCGAGCGUCAUUUCAACCAUCAAGCCCCCGGGCUUGUGUUGGGGACCUGCGGCUGCUCGCAGGCCCUGAGAACCAGUGGCGGGCUCGCUGUCACACCGAGCGUAGUAGCAAUCACCUCGCUCAGGGCGUGCUGCGGGUUCCGGCCGUUAAACAGCCUUACAAAACCCAAGGUUGACCUCGGAUCAGGUAGGAAGACCCGCUGAACUUAAGC